rnacentral:rRNA from 1 species
GACGAACGCUGGCGGCGUGCUUAACACAUGCAAGUCGAGCGAUGAAGUUCCUUCGGGAAUGGAUUAGCGGCGGACGGGUGAGUAACACGUGGGUAACCUGCCUCAUAGAGGGGAAUAGCCUUUCGAAAGGAAGAUUAAUACCGCAUAGGAUUGUAGUGCCGCAUGGUACAGCAAUUAAAGGAGUAAUCCGCUAUGAGAUGGACCCGCGUCGCAUUAGCUAGUUGGUGAGGUAACGGCUCACCAAGGCGACGAUGCGUAGCCGACCUGAGAGGGUGAUCGGCCACAUUGGGACUGAGACACGGCCCAGACUCCUACGGGAGGCAGCAGUGGGGAAUAUUGCACAAUGGGGGAAACCCUGAUGCAGCAACGCCGCGUGAGUGAUGACGGUCUUCGGAUUGUAAAGCUCUGUCUUCAGGGACGAUAAUGACGGUACCUGAGGAGGAAGCCACGGCUAACUACGUGCCAGCCGCCGCCGUAA